GACGUAGGGCGCGAGCGUUGUCCGGAUUUAUUGGGCGUAAAGAGCUCGUAGGCGGCUCGUUGCGUCGGCUGUGAAAACCCGCAGCUCAACUGUGGGCUUGCAGCUGAUACGGGCGGGCUGGGAUUCGGUAGGGGAGACUGGAAUUCCUGGUGUAGCGGUGGAAUGCGCAGAUAUCAGGAGGAACACCGGCGGUGUAGACGGCUUUCUGGACCGUAGCUGACGCUGAGACACGAAAGCGUGGGUAGCAAACAGG
rnacentral:rRNA from 1 species